rnacentral:rRNA from 1 species
UGGGGAAUAUUGGACAAUGGGGGCAACCCUGAUCCAGCCAUGCCGCGUGGGUGAUGAAGGCCUUAGGGUUGUAAAGCCCUUUCGGUGGGGAAGAUAAUGACGGUACCCGCAGAAGAAGCCCCGGCUAACUUCGUGCCAGCAGCCGCGGUAAUACGAAGGGGGCUAGCGUUGCUCGGAAUCACUGGGCGUAAAGCGCACGUAGGCGGAUUCCUAAGUCGGGGGUGAAAUCCUGGAGCUCAACUCCAGAACUGCCUUCGAUACUGGGAAUCUUGAGUCCGGAAGAGGUGAGUGGAACUGCGAGUGUAGAGGUGAAAUUCGUAGAUAUUCGCAAGAACACCAGUGGCGAAGGCGGCUCACUGGGCCGGUACUGACGCUGAGGUGCGAAAGCAUGGGGAGCAAACAG